UACGUAGGGGGCGAGCGUUGUCCGGAAUUAUUGGGCGUAAAGAGCGUGUAGGCUGUUCGGUAAGUCUGCCGUGAAAACCCAGGGCUCAACCCUGGGCGUGCGGUGGAUACUGCCGGGCUAGAGGGUGGUAGAGGCGAGUGGAAUUCCCGGUGUAGCGGUGAAAUGCGCAGAUAUCGGGAGGAACACCAGUAGCGAAGGCGGCUCGCUGGGCCAUACCUGACGCUGAGACGCGAAAGCGUGGGGAGCAAACAGG
rnacentral:rRNA from 1 species